ensembl:lncRNA
GGGAGACCUGUGUGUGGAGCUGAAGUUAAUUAAUGAACAUCAAAUGGUAUUGAGAAAGUGGCUGUGGAGGAGCAGUUUGUUAUGUGAUGAUCAUCUACAGUCCCUUCACAUUACUGUACGUUUAUUAAAGGUAAAGGGUAAAUCAAACUGUUUUUGACUUACUCUGUACUUUCACAAAUUAAUACAACAUUUAUAUUACACUUGGUGCAUUUUGAAGCAUGGAAUUGGGCCAAUAGAUUAUUUCUUUCAGCUGUAUAUUUGUGUUUCAACAGAAAACCAUUUCAGCUCCUGCGACAGCCAGACGGAAGGAGACAGCAACAUACCAGCCGUUAUCUCCAGGGAGAUGGGAUGUCUGGCUGUCGCCCUACAACGAGGAAGGCUGCUGCUGAGAGCAGGGGGUGCCUACUCAAGUCCUAGAAACAGCAACUAGAUUGGAAAUGGCUUCCUGAAAUCCCUCAAGCAGCUGAUUGGUCGACUCCAGGGCUAAUUGGAGAGCUGACCCCGCCCCCUCGUCAAGACACAGCUGUCUCCAAUUACCCAUUCCUUCAGAAGCUAUAUAAAAACCAGUGUUCUGUUCAGAAAAAAAGAUUCUCUUUUUUUGUAGAGGAUUUUGCUGGAGGUAAAUUUGCUAGAGAGAUAUUUUGUAGAGGAUUUUGCUAGAGGUUGAUUUUGCUGGGAGUUCAUUGCUGAGAGUUGGUAUGUUUUGUGAGUUUGUUGCUCAGAUAGAACUUAUUUGAUGUCCUUUGUCUCUUAGUUUGUUUGUGAAAUUGUUUAAUAUUCUGUUUCAUUUGUUCCCAGGGGGGAAGGGGAAGGCACCUAGGGAGUGCUUAGG